GAAACCCUCUCCUAAGCGCGAAAUUUGAAGACAAAGCAAAUUUCUCUCUUAGAAGACAAGAAAUUGAUUCUAUCGAAACACUUUUUCAAGUUGAUGCUAAGCUUUUGUUUGGUUGCUGGGAAAAUGGAGGAAAAUGCAUGGAAGCAAAUGUAAUUUUGAGGAUUCUGCUUGGUGUACUACAAGAUUGUUCACGUCCCUUUCAUUUUGAGGUUUUGGAAUUGUGAAGGGCUGAGUUCUUCGAUUGGUUCAUGUUUUGGGAAGGGUUGAGUUUUGCUGCCUUUCAUACUGGAAUAGUUUUUCUCUUCUCUCUUUAACACAUUCACCAACAUGAUAUCAACUUUGAAGACCAUAUUUUUUCAAUUUUCUGCAUAAUUGGGAAUUUUGGAGUUUGGAGUUUUUGCACAAGAUAUAUAUCAACAUGAAGACACUUGCACAAAUGAAAGCCAAGGUACCUUCUAGGAUUAAUGCUCAACAAUCGAUAUUUGAGCUGAGAAACAAAGUGGUUCUUGCACUAAGCAAGCUUGCAGAUCGAGAUACAUGUCAAAUAGGUGUUGAUGAUCUUGAGAAAAUAGCUCAAUCCUUGACCCCAGAGGAGAUUACUCCAUUUCUAUCUUGCAUAUUGGACACAGACAAGGAGCAAAAGAGCACAGUUCGAAAGGAAUGCAUUAGAUUGAUGGGUGUUCUGGUGAACUUUCACACGAGUCUUCUGGGACCACAUGUAGGUAAGAUGGUUGCUACCAUUGUCAAGAGGCUUAGGGAUCCAGACUCCGUUGUGAGGAAUGCUUGUGUGGAAACAAUGGGUGUUUUGGCUUCUAAGUUGAGCAAUCAUGGAGGUGAGAAAAGUGGAGUCUUUGUUUUGUUGGUGAGACCACUUUUUGAAGCUCUGGGUGAACAGAAUAAGCAGAUGCAGUCAGGCUCAGCAUUGUGCUUGGCUAGGGUCAUUGAUAAUACCCAUGAUCCUCCAGUUUCUGUUUUGCAACGGAUGUUGACUCGGACCAUAAAAUUGCUUAAGAAUCCACACUUCAUGGCAAAACCAGCAGUAAUCGAGUUGAAUAGAAUUAUUAUUCAGGCAGGGGGUGCUUCAUCACAAAAUGUUCUAUCUGCAGCAAUGACUAGCAUCCAUGAAGCACUCAGAAAUAGUGACUGGACAACUCGCAAAGCAGCUUCUAUAGCAUUAGCAGAAAUUGCUUCAAGUGGUCAAUCUUGGUUGGGAUCUUUCAAGUGUUCCAGCAUCAGUUCUCUUGAGUCCUGCCGUUUUGACAAGGUAAAACCAGUCAGGGACACAGUACUUCAUGCUCUACAGUACUGGAAAAGUCUUCCAGGGCCUGAUACUCCUGAAUCUUCGGAAACUGGAUCUUCAAUAAAAGAAAAUUACUGUAGAGGCGAGUACAGUGAUAUCACCAGUAUCAGUGACUCUGUGAGGAGGGAUGGCACACCAAAUAGAGUUACAAACUCAGCCAAAAGAAGGAUUCCUUUAUCUGUUAAGAAAUCAUAUGAAAAUUGCAUGGACUCUCGGCAUUCCAAAGCAGAUGAAUGGCAAAUUGAAAUUGCAGUCCCAAAAUCCCAUCAUGUUUCUUUAGCAGAUCUUUGUAAUGAGGAAUCUGAGGGUAGUUCUGUUACCAAGACAUUGGAAAGAAUCAGUUCUUACAAUAUUAGUACCCUGGAUAAUGGGUGUGAAUAUGUACCACUUGAUGACAAGCAAGAUUGUUCAUCAGUGUCCAACCUAGUUUCUGACAACUUUGAGACCAAGUUUGUGGCUGUUUCUCACGACUCACUUGAGGUUGAUGGUUUGUUAAGGUCUACAGGAAGAAACAGAGGGUUUGCAGCUGAAGUGAUUAAUAAUGAGGAACGAACACACUCUGCAAAGAUGAGAGAUUGUAGAAGUCUUGAUUCUACAGUCACGGAGACUAGUUUUCAACCUUUGCAUGGAUGCUGUUCACAGGUAGCCAAUGAAAUGGCUUGCAUUCAGAAACAACUUUUGGAGAUUGAAAACAAACAUUCAAGCUUAAUGGAAAUGCUACAGGCGUUUUCAACUGGCAUAAUGGAUAGCUUAUCCAUGUUAAGGUCUAAGGUGUCAGUUUUAGAGCAAGAAGUUGAUAGAAUAUCUCAUGCACUUCUGCAAGGGGGGAGACAUUCUGAUUCAGCAAUCUCUAAGCUCAUGAAGCAGAACCAAAGUGUUUCUUCUCCCAGACUUUCAACAUCCACACCAAGGCUGUCUGUUGAUAUUCGCAACAAACAGCCUUCAUUGUUUUCUACAAAGAAUUCUGACAUUUGGGAGGAAAAUACAUCUGGUAGAGGCAGAUCGAUGAAUUUGAAAAGGGCGACAGAGAUGAGGACAAAUCCUACUGUAAUGACUAGUAGGAAUGCCGUGAUGAAGGACAUGCAGAAAAGCUCUGGACAUGGAGCAUUGAAUUGCACAGGAAAAGUUGAUGCUGUCCUUGCUUCAAUUUCAGGUGCCAAUGCAAGAGAAAAUGGUCCAGAGAACAACAAUUGCCUAUGGCAACGUGUUAAAGGAUUUCUAUGUAAAGGGGACCUUGACUCUGCAUAUGCAGAAGCUCUUUGUUCUGUUAAUGAACUUGUUCUCAUUGAACUUCUGGAUAGAACUGGUCCUGUAUUGGAAAGUUUGUCCCACAAAACUGUCAGUGACAUUCUUAGCACUCUGGCAUCUUACUUCUUAGAACGAAGAUUUACAAACUCUAUAAUCCCUUGGUUGCAGCAGGUAGUGGACUUGAGCACAAUUCAUGGACCGGAUUACUUUGUCCUCUCUGCUAAAGCAAGAAGAGAAUUCUUGUCUGCAAUUCAGGAGGCUUUUAACAUGGAAUUUUCUAAUCCUGCACAGAGAAGAUCCGUCACUCAACUUGCAAUGAGAUUGUGCCACCUGUGGGGCAAUAGCUGCCAAUAAUCAGAAGACUUCUUUCAAAUAGGUGUAUUGUUCAUGCAACUGAUGUUGAAUCCGGGCCUUUGAAAAUUUUAUUUUCCUAGAUGUGUUUCGAGAAGAAAGGAUUUUAUUAUGAAUCUGGGGCUGAUUGUUUUGUGUUGCAUUUGGGUCAUUUAUUAAUUUCUUGCCUCCACAAUUCGGG
rnacentral:misc_RNA from 1 species